rnacentral:rRNA from 1 species
AUUGAACGCUGGCGGCAGGCCUAACACAUGCAAGUCGAGCGGAUGAAGGGAGCUUGCUCCUGGAUUCAGCGGCGGACGGGUGAGUAAUGCCUAGGAAUCUGCCUGGCAGUGGGGGAUAACGUCCGGAAACGGGCGCUAAUACCGCAUACGUCCUGAGGGAGAAAGUGGGGGAUCUUCGGACCUCACGCUAUCAGAUGAGCCUAGGUCGGAUUAGCUAGUUGGUGGGGUAAAGGCCUACCAAGGCGACGAUCCGUAACUGGUCUGAGAGGAUGAUCAGUCACACUAGAACUGAGACACGGUCCAGACUCCUACGGGAGGCAGCAGUGGGGAAUAUUGGACAAUGGGCGAAAGCCUGAUCCAGCCAUGCCGCGUGUGUGAAGAAGGUCUUCGGAUUGUAAAGCACUUUAAGUUGGGAGGAAGGGCAGUAAGUUAAUACCUUGCUGUUUUGACGUUACCAACAGAAUAAGCACCGGCUAACUUCGUG